UGCGCCACUCCUCCGCCCACCACCUCCGCCAACCGCCUCGACCUAUCGAAGACCCCAUCCACCCAUCGGCAACCGCAUCCAGUGAUCAAGAGACUCAUCGCAACCGCGCGCAUCCACCCACCUCCUCCACUAAUCGCCACCGCAUCCACCCGGCGCUCCGAUCUCCCUGCUCCCACCUUCUCGCCGCCUCCAGUCUCGCCACCGCAUCAACCCUAAAUCCCCGAUACUGAGAUGGUGAUCGUGGGGAAGAGGAAGGACCGAGCCACUAAGGCCAGUGCUUUGAUGGAGUCUAUACGGCAAAGCGUCGGCUCAGCUAGCAGUAGCAGCCACCCUACUCCCAUACCGGCUGAGACAGUACCACCAGGGGCUCCCCCUUGAUCGUGAGGCCCCCUACCGUUGAUACUAGUUCAACGGGAUCUCCAUCAUCUACACCGACACCUGAAUCUGCAAGACGCAUCGUCGACAACGCUUGUUUGAAAGUUAGAAGCCCAAUAGCUCCGGCCCCGAAAAAGAAGCGGGGUUUAUGUUUUGAAAAGAAGACGGAGGAUAUCGUUGCACAAACGGGGCAGAAGAUCAAGCUGGAGUAUUGCCCCCGUGUAAAAGGCCUUAGCGUGAGGAGGAUAAACGGCUUGGUGGCGCAUGAUACCGGUUCCGCCAUACGGAGUCUGGUGGGAAUGUGGGCAAGGACGUUCUACGACCUUGAUCAGGAGGAGAAGUGGAAGGUGUGGAAUGCAAUGUCGCCGAAGUACGAGUGGGAUGAAAAUGAUGAGCCAAUGUUCAAUUGGAUAUUGAAGAGGGCACAAGACAGGUACAAGGACUAGAAGUACCAGUGUCACAAAACUUAUCUGAAGGAAGGGCCCUCUGGCAUGCCUUCAGAUUUCAUUGGGAGAGAGGACUAGUGGGAGUUUCUAUGCGAGCACUUCGAGUCAGAUACGUUCAAGAGACUCUCCUUGACAAACAAGCAGAACCGUGGGGAGAAGACUAUGCACCACCACACGGGGUCUUCUCUUAUCAUCUACACAAUGGAGGAACUCAUAAUACAAGGGGAGCAGCUUUCAAUUAUCAAAGGUUUUGAGAAGACCUAUGUCAGGGCCGGUGAUGAAGAUACGACCAAGAAAUAUGUAAGUGUUUAAGUCC